CGGGAAAAUAUGUAGUGCAAACCACAUAUGUAGUGGAAACAUGGAUACCGUUGGAUCGAGAAAUGGACGUCCGAGAUUCGUCCACGUCACCAUGAGUUAAAAUUUAACUCCUAGUAAAAUUUCAACUCAUGAGUGAAUCUGCGAGUUAAAUUUUAACUCAGGGUGACGUGGACGAAUCUCGAACGUUUAUUUCUCGAUCCAAAGGUAGUUUCCAUGUUUUCACUAUAUAUUAUAUGUGGUUUGCAUUAGAUAUUUUCCCG
rnacentral:misc_RNA from 1 species